rnacentral:rRNA from 1 species
CCUACGGGAGGCAGCAGUGGGGAAUUUUGGACAAUGGGCGCAAGCCUGAUCCAGCCAUGCCGCGUGUGGGAAGAAGGCCUUCGGGUUGUAAACCACUUUUGUCAGGGAAGAAACGGCUCUUACUAAUAUUAGGAGCUAAUGACGGUACCUGAAGAAUAAGCACCGGCUAACUACGUGCCAGCAGCCGCGGUAAU